UACGGAGGGGGCUAGUGUUGUUCGGAAUUACUGGGCGUAAAGAGCGCGCAGGCGGUCGUUCAAGUCGAGUGUGAAAGCCCCCGGCUCAACUGGGGAGGGUCAUUCGAUACUGAUCGACUCGAAGGCAGGAGAGGGUAGUGGAAUUCCAGGUGUAGCGGUGAAAUGCGUAGAUAUCUGGAGGAACACCGGUGGCGAAGGCGGCAUCCUGGACCGGUAUUGACGCUGAGGCGCGAAAGCCAGGGGAGCAAACGGG
rnacentral:rRNA from 1 species